UACGUAGGUGGCAAGCGUUAUCCGGAAUUAUUGGGCGUAAAGAGUGCGUAGGUGGUUACCUAAGCGCAAGGUUUAAUCUUGAGGCUCAACCUCAUUCUGCCUUGCGAACUGGGCUACUUGAGUGCUGGAGGGGAAAGCGGAAUUCCCAGUGUAGCGGUGAAAUGCGUAGAUAUUGGGAAGAACACCGGUGGCGAAGGCGGCUUUCUGGACAGUAACUGACACUGAGGCACGAAAGCGUGGGGAGCAAACGGGAUUAGAUACCCUGGUAGUCCCUGA
rnacentral:rRNA from 1 species